AUCCUCUGGUAGUUCAUGAGCGUGAUGAUUGGGUGUGUCAUGCACAUAUGUGAGAUGUGCCAUACUUGCAACUUGUUACCUUAACACUCCACUGUCAACAUUAGACA
ensembl:snoRNA